rnacentral:rRNA from 1 species
AUACGGGGGGUGCAAGCGUUAAUCGGAAUUACUGGGCGUAAAGCGCGCAUAGGCGGUUUGCUCAGUCGGAUGUGAAAGCCCAGGGCUCAACCUUGGAACUGCAUACGAUACUGGCAAACUAGAGUGUGAGAGAGGAUAGUGGAAUUUCCGGUGUAGCGGUGAAAUGCGUAGAUAUCGGAAGGAACAUCAGUGGCGAAGGCGACUGUCUGGCUCAACACUGACGCUGAGGUGCGAAAGCGUGGGUAGCAAACAGGAUUAGAUACCCUAGUAGUCC